AGCAGCCGCGGUAAUUCCAGCUCCAAUAGCGUAUAUUAAAGUUGUUGCAGUUAAAAAGCUCGUAGUUGAAUUUCGGGAUCAAUUUAUUGGUCGUGCUAUUGUACGUACUGGUAUUAUUGAUUUCUACCUUCUGACGAACCAUGAUGUCAUUAAUUUGGUGUCUUGGGGAAUCAGGACCGUUACUUUGAAAAAUUAGAGUGUUUAAAGCAGGCUCACGCUUGAAUACAUUAGCAUGGAAUAACGAAAUAGGACGUUUGAUUCUAUUUUGUUGGUUUCUAGGAUCGACGUAAUGAUUAAUAGGGAUAGUUGGGGGCAUUAGUAUUCAAUUGUCAGAGGUGAAAUUCUUGGAUUUAUUGAAGACUAACUACUGCGAAAGCAUUUGCCGAGGAUGUUUUCAUUAAUCAAGGACGAAAGUUAGGGGAUCGAAGACGAUCAGAUACCGUCGUAGUCUUAACCAUAAACUAUGCCGACUAGGGAUCGGAUGAUGUUAAUUUUUAAUGUACUCA
rnacentral:rRNA from 1 species